AACGCGAAGAACCUUACCUACUCUUGACAUCCAGAGAAUUUGCUAGAGAUGCCUUAGUGCCUUCGGGAACUCUGAGACAGGUGCUGCAUGGCUGUCGUCAGCUCGUGUUGUGAAAUGUUGGGUUAAGUCCCGCAACGAGCGCAACCCUUAUCCUUUGUUGCCAGCGCGUAAUGGCGGGAACUCAAAGGAGACUGCCGGUGAUAAACCGGAGGAAGGUGGGGAUGACGUCAAGUCAUCAUGGCCCUUACGAGUAGGGCUACACACGUGCUACAAUGGCGUAUACAAAGAGAAGCGAACUCGCGAGAGCCAGCGGACCUCAUAAAGUACGUCGUAGUCCGGAUUGGAGUCUGCAACUCGACUCCAUGAAGUCGGAAUCGCUAGUAAUCGUAGAUCAGAAUGCUACGGUGAAUACGUUCCCGGGCCUUGUACACACCG
rnacentral:rRNA from 1 species